rnacentral:lncRNA from 1 species
GCUGAUUCAAGCAGCAUAAAGAAAGCUUUGUCAAUCUCAUCCCCAACCCAUGGCUCAUUUUUUCAUUUUUCUGAUAGAUCUAAUCAUUCUCAUCCGAAUUUUGUUCGAAUUUUCAAGUGAAAAAGAUUUGGUGUGGGGCCUUGUCGAAAUUCAUGAUCCUGUUAGGGCAGUUGAGGCUCCGUUUGGGCCCCAUUUCGAACCAAUCAUCUGCCAUUGUUUCCAUGCAAGUUGUUACAUUUAUGAUCACGUUGGCUGUCCAUUUAAGACCUAAUUAUUAAACCCCGCAAUAUCCAUAUAUCCAUGCAAUGUAAUGAAUGUCACUUUCCAAUGUUUUGGAUAUUGGUGCUACAUGUUAGCAAGAACGAGCUGGAUUGGUUGGCAAUGGCUGCAAGCAAAUGCUAAGCCUACAUUUAGUUGAAAAUGAAUCAUAGAUAUAUUCACAUUAAAUAAUACGGUCCAAAUUAUUUGUCUUAAAAUAAAUAAGACAGGAAGAUCAUUUUCAGAUCUUGUCUAAAUCUAUAUUUUUUUCCAAGACAAUCUUAAAGGCGCAUUUAUAAUUAGAGAG